UUGAAAGUUAGUAGACAUCAGGGACGGCCAGAUCUCACGAUAAACACAUCCGCCAUUUUUAAACGAGGGUUACGUUACGAUUUCGGUCUUUCAGCGAGCAACGGGCGAGAGUUUACUGCAAACAGUGGAAGCGAAAAGACAUUUACUUUGGUCUUAUUCAAAGUUCAAGAUCCACCUUCACACUCAUGCAUUGCAUGUUUGACACCGAACUUCUUUUACAUCUCUUUUUGAAUUAAACUGCCUUCUCUCUUCGUUCCUGGGCUCAUUUUGUUUUUGUGAUGUUAGUGAAAUGGCUCUAGCUGUGUCUGGGGUAGCCAGUGUGAGCUGAUAUAGCAGGAGGUUUUUAGGUUUUCUAAUUGUAUCUUCACACUGCCUCUUCAGCUGCGAGACCUUCUAGUCCCAAGUUAUGGAUCCCAUUUACCUGAGAGACUGCCGCCAACCGAGAGACCCAUCUGAUGCUCUUGCUGCAUCCAGUAGCAGCGUAAAUGAAGAUCUAGAUUUGGAUGUAGCCAACCCAUUUAUUUUCUCAUUAUUUAUGUUUUUAUUACCGCAUGUUGUUAAAAUUGUU